UGCAGAUUUCCUUGUAUCCUCCCUAUGUCUCCAUGUUACAAUGCUACAACGUCGUCUUGACAUCAGGCUCCGCUGAGCUGAUGGCACUGACUUUGGAAAGCUUUCAUGCACUUCAUUACAGCUUUGAAUGGCACAUGCGGUUUUUUGUUUGUUUGUUUUAUUUGUUUUUUUUUUUUUUCCUUCUUGUUGUUUUUCCUCAUUUUAAGGCUCUCCUCUGCUUCGGAAGAAACAUGUUCUGGCAUGCUGAAGUUUGCUAGUGAAAUAAGCUCCUUUCUCGCUUCUCGCUUGCUCUGCUGUUAUUGAUAACCUGUAAAGGAGAUGGAGCUGAAGGUCUGAGUGAAAUGGCGCUUUCAAGAUACAUACUUUUAGCCACAUCAAGCUGAGGAAAAUGCAGUUCUGUGUGAAUUUCAUACGAUGCAUGUGACGCUUUGCAUACCAAAACCGGUGACAAAGGGUCUGCAGGUGAGUCCCCCAGGGACUGCUUUGCGGGGAGGAUUUUUCCAGUCUCUAACCACUGAAGUAUUCAGCUCUCCAACUGCUCCCCAGAGUUGGCGGUUCUGAUUUGCUUCAAUUCAAGAACAGAAAAUGACACGUAAUGAAGUGUCCCCCAGCAAGUAAGCGGUGCCCGUGUGACAAGCAGGGAUGCAAAGGGUUAAGACGCCGACUUGCUUGCUAGGCAAAGUUUGAGGAAGAACAUGUCUUGAGGCUGAGCACGCCGCAGCACCGCGUUUGAAAUCUGUCACCCUCACUUAGGAGCUCCGCAUCUCCGCUUGUCACCGGUGAAUAAUGAUCACGCGGCGAUAAGAUCGCGCGGUGGCGGUGCGCCGGAGCUGCCGGGGGAGAAGCAGAGGGAAAUUACAGGCGUUUAACGUUGCGGAGGGGGUUCCUCGGUCAUCGGCGGUUUCAGGGUCAAACGACCGGCUGGACAGAGGCUUGGGAAGUAUAUUUCCUUCCUCCUUUCCUUGAAAGAAAGCUUGGGCGAUGGUGAUCAUCGGCAGCUAUGGAAAGCAGAGACCUUGGUGGUGAUCCUUAAAACAAUACCAUGCCGGCGCCCGGCUGUUCUGCCACUUUCCCCCCUUGCAACCGGCCGGACCCGGUGGGCUUUGGGUGAUUGCAGGAGACCUCCGCAUGAGCAGAAAGUCUGGCAAAGAACCUGACUAGGCUGCAGUUACAGCAACAGUAAAAGAAAAGAAAAACCUCAGUGGAGAGACAGCACUGUGUGGGUUAAUGUUGGCUAUUCACUCAGAUGAAGCUUCCUGUGAGUGAUAAAAUGCAAGUUGGAUGGUCUCAGUCAAGCUUCUCAUGGAUAGCUGCCCACAUGGGAAUAACAACUACGUAGAUUAGCUGUGUGAAUACUCCAGGACAGGUGUGGGACUGAACUGCAUUGACAGAACUGCCCCAUGGACUGGUGUGUGUGAUGCUUCACCAGAGAGUGAAACACUUCACUGUUCCAUUUCUACCAGCGCUAAAACUCAUUCAAGCUUUUUAAAUUAAUUGGUUUUAAGGAGUUGGAUAAAACUCAUUUUUUUUGUCAGAUUUUCAAGUCUCUUAUUAGACAUUUCAAUAAAAUGAAGUACAAGUGAAAAUUAAAACACUCUGAAUUAUACUUGUCAUCAUUUCUCUCUUGCUCUCAAGAACAAUAUUAUGGCUUCUGAUGAUGCAUCUUUCCUAACAGACCAGGACAAAUAACAAGAAAAUGCAAGUCUUUUAGAGUUUAAGAGGAGACAAUAUGACACAGGGUUCCUCCUACUGAACACAAAAACUUUCUGUUUCUAUCUGAAAUCUAGACACAGCUUACAGUGCUCUAUAUGAAAUGAAAGGUUGUGGACUUCGGUAACGCAACAUUAUUAACUGAGACUCAUUUUUCCAUUCCCUGUUAGUAGUGAAAAGAUUUAUUAUGUAACAGGGAUGAGCCAUUCUUUCACUUCUAUGUCCUCCUCUUCCUCUGUUCUUACAAAGCAAAGCUGAGCAUAAGUCACACUAUGUGUGUCCUUAUAAGAAGCACAUAGCCAGAAACUAACUCUGUACUAUUUUUUCUUGGUGUAAAAAGUGAUAUCAUGAAUGAAAGACAGAAUGAAGAGUAAAUAGCAGGAUUGGAUCAAGGGAACACUGUUGCACAGGUGGACUCAGAAAGCUGCUUGAUAUUAGAUAUAUAGUUCUUGUGUAAAUUAGGGCUGGAAUGGUCCACAGUAGCUUAAUAUCCUCAACAUGAAAAAGAAAACUUCUCUAUUAAGAUACUUGCUAGAGCCAGAACUGUAGAACAAACCGCUUUCCUUAGCAGGAAGGGGAAAGAUUGUGGUUUGGUAUCUGAUACUGCACUAUUUGGGCCCCAUUUGCCUCUGAAUCAAUAAAGAACCCUGCUCUUCAAAUUUCUCACAUGAAGUAAACAUAGAUAUAUAUAUAUUUUUUCCUUGAUUUAACAGGUGACUGAUGAGAUGUUUGGGCUCAAGAUGGUCUAUGGUCACGUUUAUAGCACUGCUGUAGUUAUUUACUGCAUAGUUUAAAGUUUCAGAUUCAUAUGUGGAUGUGGUUAUAUAAUUUACUGAGGCAUCUAUUUAUACCUCAGUUCAUGUUUCUUAUAUCUGUCUCAUAGCAAUUGCUACACCCUUUGCAACUGAAAUAUUUUCUGUGACAUUUUUCAGGCUUGCCACCAUUGCUUUAUCUAAUGAGGCUUGAUUUUCAUAUGCAUGUGACCAGUAUGGGCAUGGAAUAUAACUCUAAAAAAUUUAACCUUCAUCUCAUUGUGCAAAAGGGCUGCAAGCAUAUUGGUUUUUAUCAGUGCAACUCUAGACUUUUGGCACUUGCAUUAAAUUUUAAUUGUUCAGUUUUAGUGAAUUUAAUAAUUUCUCUUGCUACAGGAACUCUAUACUGCAGGAAUGGGGAGAAAAAAUGACAGAUGUCCUCUAUCAAUUUGCUACUUUUUUGGUUCUAUUCAGCUGAUAGUUGUGCAUAUUUUGAUUAUGGUAUUGUCCUAGGAAGAUAAGAACCAUGUAAGGAAAUUGCUUUAAUAUUACUGGACAUAAUUGAGGUCUGCAGCUUUGCAGCUUAAUAUUUAGAAUGUAUAGUGAGAAUUUAUGUUGCUGUCUCUAAAGAGAAACGGGAAGCAAAGUGUAUAAACCUGCACUAGCUGGUAACUAGUCAUGUGUUAUAAUACAUGAUUUACUGGGCUUUUCCCAGUACAAAUUUCAGUAGUACCUCUGAGGCAGUUAGUAUGUAAGAGUAAAUGUAUCCAUUCUGUUAGUCAUAUUUUUCUUUGUAGAAACUAGUAUGAUGUUUUGCAUCUAGGUAUAAACCAAUCUAAGUGACAGUGGGCUAUGUCUGCUCUGUUCUUUUUAAUCUUAUAUUCUUGCUCAUCAGUAUAGUAGCCUAACACCUACCUAUAAAGUUUUACUGAAAGAUAUCCUUACAAAAUAAUUCUGCAGUGUUUGAUAGUAUCAAAUUACUUUAUUUCAUGUAAAGAGUUAUUAAUAUUUGCAACAAGAGAUCUGGUCAGUCAGAAUUAAAAAGCUUUGAAAUUCCCUUCUGAGCACAAAAAUUAGGACAGUGGUUUGUACCCACAAUUAUGUAUGAAUAUACAGAUUAUAUUUAUAAUUCCACUGACUUUGUACACAUGAAAAAUCUAGAUAAGUGAUUAGUAAAAUGACAUUAAUUUUAUUGCAUAUUCCACAUGCAAAUAGUAGUGCUGCAAAAGUGGCUCCCAAUAGAUCUUGCAUAUAUGUAGUAUGUAGUCUGUCUCACAUUUCUCUCCUUUCUUUCUUAAUAUUCAACACUUAAAAGCCUAGAUAUAUUGAAGACUAAGUCCUCCCACCAAGAUUAACGGGCUAUACUUUCAGGGACCUUCAAUUCUGUGUAUUUUAACAUCUUUUAUCUGAGAAAGCAACGUGCCCCCAGGUAAUUAUACAAGUUGAUUAGUCAGUGCAAUAUACUGGUUGGUUUGUGAAAUGGUUUUGCUCUCCAUUUUAGCAGUGUAAAUCAGGAAUGUUUUCUCAUAAGUAUUAGUCUAAUAUGCAGUAAGUAAUAUAAUAGUCCGUAUUGCAUGUAAACUAUUUUUCCUAAGCAGGAUUUAAUUUGCAUGACUUUCACUUAGCAACAUGUAAGAUUUUUUUUUUCCCAAAGCUUAAGAAUCCUGCAACUAUACUCAUGGAAUGUACUUAUUCCAUGCAAAAGCAAUAGAAUUUGCUUUAAUUUCCUUCUACCUGUCUUCCUGAUGUCAGUUGUGACUAGGCUGUCACUUCUAUGAGUGGCUGCUGUUUUAUGCUGUGUAUUACGUUGUCUCCUUCCAUUUACAGCUUGAAAAAAAUAAAAAUAAAAAUUUCCAAAGCUGAGAUCAAGUUCUAUGAAAUUCUGAUAACUUUAAAUAGUCAGUAGAUCUUGAACAUAAUAAGUGAUUUUCAGGGUCUCCACAUAUAUUUAAACUAAUAGACAUAGCUUGCAGCUAUCUUCAGUUAAAACAAGUGUCACCUUGUUUCAGGUGAUAUGAGUGUAACAUCACAUUGUUAGUUUCUCUUGUAAGAUAUUUAAUUUCAAAUGUAAUAUGAGUUAAAAUAUAAAUCUGAGACAGUUGGAAAUAAAACCCCUUCCUAAAAAUAAAGAUUCAUGUUUAAUUGUAGCAGUAUUGCCUGUAUAGUCUAGAAAAACAGCAGCAAGUCAUAAAAGUUAUAAGAAUGAGCAGCAGCUUCCCUGGUACUCAGUAAGAAUUUCACUUGGUAAAUGUUGACAUGAAUUAUUAAAUGAAAUAGUAGUAAAAUAUAGUCAUUCAAAAACAGUUUCCUUCUAAAGACAUGGGAAGAAUUGUUUUGUUGAUUUUUUUUUUUCCAAAGGAAUGCUUUUGGUGUGUCUUGCUUUGCUUGAAUUAUACAACAUAAUCUCUGUACUAAAACUUCCCUAAUUCAUUUUGCAAGUAAAGAAUGCUUAUUGGAGUCGUUUUCACAACCUCACUUAAGCAGUUUUUCUUAUACAUCUUAAUUUUCCCUUCCAAACUUGUUCCGGAAGAGAAACUACUGUGAUGCAAUAGUGAGCAUGAUUCUAGUGGGCUGAAAGUACAAUGUCCACUUACUGAUUAGAUAUUCAGUGUAUCUGUCAAUGCUAGAAUAUAUGCUUUGUAAUCUGAACAUGCAGGUCUACUCCUCAAUUGAUCUGUACUCUAGCGACACAAUUUUCUUAAAUUUAAUUGUCUAGAUAUAAAGUUAAUUUAGGAUUUGAAUAAAAGAUUUAAUAGUUAACCAGAUUAGAUUUCCAGAGUAGUGAACUUUAAAGAGAAUGUCAGAUAUUACUGAUGAAGGCAUUCUACUUAGAUUUAACAGAGUCAUUAAUUUUAUCUUUAGCACUAUGUUUAGAUUUGGUUGAAAAUUUUGGGAAAAAAAUACCAAAAUAUUUUUAUUUGGUGAAACAGUUUAUCCGAAGUGAUGCAGAAUUGCUUACUUCCCUAAGUAACAUUUUUAUCUGAGUCAAAGCCAAAAAUUUACUGUCAGCCAGUAUUACAUGCAGUGGAAAGCAUGGGUAAUAGUAUAAAAAAAAAUAUCAGCCCACAGACACAGAUAUAUGUGAGUCCCUAUUGAAUAUACCUGACCAAAUAUACUUGUGUUGCUGAAGACAAAGACCUAGAUGAUGCUUCAGCCUUCAGCAAAUUCAGAAAGUGAUUUCCACUAACAUUGAAGGAGCAGGAUUACUUUUUCUGAGUAUCCUUACCGUAUCCCUUAUGUAUAAUUAAGGCUUCAUUCAUACUAACUUUAAAUGUGAUGAUGAGCUCUGUUUCCUUUCUCAUGCAAAGAAGCAUCCAUCUAAUCAAAGACCACAUAUGAAUACUUAACUUGCGCUGUGAGAGUUAGUUUUAACUACAAAGUCCUUCAAGAUGCCUGCAAAGGGAUAUAUCCUUUUCUUCUGCUCACUACACUGAUAGAAGGUGUGCACUGAGUGGUACAACACUGUAAAGCCAAACAAAAAGCUCUAUACAUAUAUGUGGAAUCUAAACUAGUACCUACCAUUUCUAUGUGUAGUUUAGACUCAGUGCUUCAUGUUAGUUUGUGUCAGUUGAAAAACAAAGCAAAACAAACAAACAAAACAAGUAAAGCCUAAACAUAAAAAUCAUCUUGAAGUUUAAUUUAAAGAAAAUUUGUAAAACCAUGUGCCAUCUUAUAUUUUGUCUGACUCAGUCCUGAUCUCUUCACAGGCUAAUAGAUUUCUUAGAAGUCAUUCAGCUCAGACUAUCACAUAAAAAUCUGUUAGAUAUGCUGAAUAUUCUUUAAAAUACAUGCCUCACUAGCUGGAAAGUCAUGUUUAUUCUUAUAGCUAUUGUUUCAAAUAAGCAAAAUAUUAGGACAUGGUUUCUAAGAGCAAAAUAUAUUACAUGGUCUUCACAAAAUUAUGGAAGCCUCAUUUCUAGGCACAAAAAACAUUAACUUUGACAAAGUGCUGAUGUGUUAGUGUUGGAAAUAUGCCUGCAGUCAUGGGUCUCGUACAGAUGACAUAAGGAAACUUUCCUGUUACUUAAAAUAAGUUAAUUAACUGGAUUUGAUCAUUUGUCAUAAGAAAAGGAACAACCAGGAUUCUUACCGUAGGAUUCAUAUCUCCACUUUAGCAAAAAAUGUAGAGAUUGCAGUAUCAUUGUCUUCAAUUGGAGCUGUGGGUGAGUAAUUAGGAAGACAGUGGGAACACGACACUGAAAUUGUAGCAGGAGUCUAUUGACCACCAAUAGAGUUUUUGGCCUGGCACCCAUUCAUAAAAUCUCUUAAGUGUAUAUCCUAAAUCCAUAGGCCCCAUUAGCUAAACUUACAAAUAUCCCAAUUUCCAUUCACUUCAGGAAACUGCAUUCAUACAAGAGAAAUACAAAUACUGUGGCCAACAGUUUAAAUCAUGUACUGCAGAAACCUUUGGGAGAUGGUGUGAUCAUGGAUGUUACUGAAUGCUGAGCAUAUCCAUUUUUUCUUCCUUUCUCUGUUCCUCUUGUUCCCACUGUGCACCUCCUCAAGUUCCUCUUCCUGCCUCAAAAACUUAAAUGCAAUAAAUCAUUUUAAAAUAAAACUUAUUAAUGACUUUCUGACAUAAACUGCCAUGUUGCACACAAGAUAGGGAAGUACACUGUAUACUUGCAUGGUUUAGGUAACAUUAAUAACAUCAAUAUUUAUAUUGCCAUAAGCUUAGCUCGCACUACAGUGUUAUUUAUGUAGUGCUAUGUUUUCCCCAGGUAUUCUUCCUGUCAACUUCCUUUCUGGCUUUUGGAAGGUAAACACACCUUCAAAAAGUGAAGUACAAAGUCUUACGUAUGGAGUUUCCAUUCUUUUAAUUUUAUAUCUAUAAAAAAUAAUGACCUUCAUGAAGCCAUCUGCAUCUAUGCAGUGCCUUAAACUGAGAAUCUUUGAGAUUAUUAAUAGCAAUAACAUUAUCACAGUAAUGUGAGAAUUGUAUCUGUCCAGAUUGUAUGUCACUGAUGAAACAGCACUGGAAAAUGUGCUUAUCUGCUUUGGUCUGAAGUAUAAGUAUUAAAUCAAAGCAUCUAUUUCAAAUACUUCUCAAGCAUUUUGAGCAAGAUUCUGGAGAGUUGCUGUCAUCAGAAAAUUAUUGUGUUUAUUGAGAAAAUAUUGAAGAUGUCCCAGAUAGGCUUCCACUGAUUUUUAGGUGUUGUUGCAAAAAUGUUAAAAGAGAUUUGGUGCUUGCAAGUCUUUAUGAUAAGUUUUCAUUUUGUUUUUUUUUUUUUAGUAAAGUAAGAGCAAACAAGAAUAAAAGGAAGUUAUUUUAAACAAAUAUCUGAAUGACUUUGUUGCUUCUGAGAAAAAAAGGUUUAAAUCUGCCAGAAAAAUUGAGUUUCUCUAGACUGAAUAAAAAUACAGUAAUUUUUUUCACUGACUGUUUCCCAGUAUACAAGGAUUUGGGACAAUGAGUGUUAUCAUUGUUUAUUAGUAUGAGCCCCUUACAAAUAAACAAAUUUCGUUAAAGCAUUUCUAGAUCAAGUAUCUAAGUAGUGUAUAUUACCAUCAUGGUCUUUGGUGAAAAUAGCCUAAGAUUAGCUCUAUCUUUCUAUACACAUUUUAUUUAGAGUUUACUUGAUUCUGUUUUGAUAUUACACUCUUAUUUUCAUUCCCUGUAUCAUUAAUACUAUGCUGGAGUUUUUUGAAGGGGACUGUAUCAUGCUACUUACCUAAACUUAUAUUACUGAAAUAUUGAAUGAUGACCAUUGCUGUGAAAUCAUGGGAAAUAAGGUACCUUUGAGGGCAAAAACUAUUACUAGCACCACUAACAAAGCAGCCUUUAAAAUGUUAGUAAUUGAAGAGCCAUUUAGUAAAACUGUGCUUGUGUGAUUAGAGAAGGAAGAAGCGUAUUAUAGAAACUGCAGUGGAAUUCUGUCUUUGCAAAAAGCAGUGAGGACUUUGUGCUGACUUCAGAUAAUUCCAUCCACUCCUAUGUCUUAAUCCAUCUGGCUCUGCCAAUGACUCAUUAAGCCUACUUGCUUAAGUCAUUUAACUUUUCAUCUUCUUUGUUUAAGAGUACUGACCAAUCCCAGAAGAUUUCUUCAAA
rnacentral:lncRNA from 1 species